rnacentral:lncRNA from 1 species
GGAAAAAACAUUUCCUCACCUACAGCCAGCCACUUGUGGAUGCGGUUAUGGUAUUGAACACAUCUUUAAUUCUAAUGUAUGAACCUUCCAUCAUCUUACUUGAGUAAAAAAUAUUUUUUUUCCAAGUUUUAGCCUUCAAACCCACAAAUCUCAGCAUCAAGUACCACAUAAGUUUUCAAUAUUGGGCAGUGGGUAGAACCUGAUGUUUUUGCUUGCUGUUUAACAUUUGCUGCACUGCUGUUUCUUUAAAAUGCUGCAACAGCUACUUAAUUUCUCCAGUAUUACAUUGGUUGAGCUUUUAUUUAUUUAUUUAUUUAUUUGGGAGGUAUUAAUUUAUUUUGAAGAGGUUAUUGUUUUUUAUUACUAAUGAUAUCUAUAUUUCUUCUUCUUCUUUACAUGGUGGAAGGUGUGCCACACCUCAGCGGCACAGCACUAACUCUGGGCACCUGCCCUGGCUGUGUCACAGCAGACAGAACAUUGGAGGUGUCCGUGUCACAAAGAGUGGCAUGGGCUGCCCAGGAUGGGUAUAAGAAGGGCUGCUGGCAGUGCUGACGUCAGAAGAGCAGCUGGGCCACUCAUUAUUCCAGCAAAAUGAACUUCCUUACAAGACAGACAAAUGGAGCGUACUGUGAAGUUACGUGCAAGGACCUGUGGUUUUCCAGAUAAGGAACAUACUGCACGACAGCCAGGUGACCUGCAUUUACAGCUGAAGACAAAACGCCAAGCCAACAGGGAAUUGCAUCUAACAUACAGACACAGAAGGGGGGCUACUCAGAUGGACCAUGCUUUUUAAAAGGGAAACCUGAGCAGGAGCAGCUGCAUGGGGACAGUUUUUCCUGCUGCCAUACAUAAGAAACAAACCAGAUCAAUACUUAAUUUCCAAGGAUUACCUUUGAUUGACAAUACCCAUUUUGUAAGUGCCUGUCCCAUUGCUGUCCUGGGUCCUAGCAAAGGAACUGACUGCUCCAAGAUACGUCUUCUGUUCAGAACUAAAAGAUUUUUGCUCUAUUUACAAUUUUAAGGCAAGUCUUUUUUCAUAAAUACUAGACUUGCCUGUUUAGAGGUUUGACAUUUUAUUGACAGCCAUACAAGUUAGAUUAUGCAGAUGGAACAGACGCUGCCAUUUUUAGGUAUAAUUAACAUUUCAUUUCCUUUCAAACAAUUUCCCCCAUCAUGUUCAGCACUAUCCGGGCAAUGGGAAUGUUCAAAAGAACACUCCACUGCAGGUUUGUGUUAUUUAAAAACAACAACAAAACACAAACAAACAAACAAACAAAACUAGAAACCACACAGCUUAUUUUUUGAACUCAAGAACUGAAGUUGUUUUUUUUUUCUUUAAUAUCGAUGUUCUACCAUUGAGUUAAUACCAGGUAA